UUGAAUAUUCUUGGUAUUUAUUGAUUAUUUUCAUGCAUUUACAAAACAAAGAAGAACAUAAGGUUGGGGACCAGUGAAUAAUUUCAUUUAGCAAAUGAAACUUUGAUAAAGCAGCAACAUGACGGAAUAUGCCAAGCUAGUUUUACUGUGUUUGUUUCUUAAAACUGUAAUGACUGCUAAUGGUUGUGAACCCGCGGAAAAAAAAUAUGUUUUAGAAAACAAAAAUGUUUUGGCGAGCCGUUGGACAAGAAUGACAUCCGUAGAGAGUCGAGGUUUGUGUGCUUUUGAGUGUCAAAUCGAACUGUACUGUGUGGCCUUUGCGUUUAAUGAACAUGAUAGGGAAUGUUAUCUGUAUGAUAGAGAUAUUACCGGUGAAGUUUAUGAUCAACAUUUGAACACAAAUAUUUACAUAAGUAACACAAUGAAAUCAUGCCAGGAAGCUUACAAUCUGGGGAUAACAGUUACACCAACCGUAAUCAUCAGACCAGAUCCAAAUGAAGAAGCUGUGACGGUAUCUUGUGAGAUUACAAACAAUGUUGUUUAUACUAUUAUAGGUCAUGAUGUAGCCAAUAAAACGUAUGUAACAGGUUACGAAGCAGCCAGAAGUUAUGUGGGAACAAUAAACUACAAUGUUGAUCUGCAACAAGUUAUAAACAUAGUUGAUGUCUCAGCCGAAUGUGAACAAUAUAUUAAAUUUGAAUGUCAUGGUGUUGAAAUAACUGUAGAUGUUGGAUUAAAUACACGUACUGGUACAUUAGCAACUUAUUUAAUAGGGGGAGUCAAGGGUCAGAAUGAUUGCGCCUGUCAUCGUAAUAAUGCCUGUGUCGAUGAUUUGCCU